rnacentral:rRNA from 1 species
CAUAAGAUCUAUGGAUGAAAGCAGGGGACCGCAAGGCCUUGCGCGAACGGAGCGGCCGAUGGCAGAUUAGGUAGUUGGUGGGGUAAAGGCUUACCAAGCCUACGAUCUGUAGCUGGUCUGAGAGGACGACCAGCCACACUGGGACUGAGACACGGCCCANACUCCUACGGGAGGCAGCAGUGGGGAAUUUUGGACAAUGGGCGCAAGCCUGAUCCAGCCAUGCCGCGUGCAGGAUGAAGGCCUUCGGGUUGUAAACUGCUUUUGUACGGAACGAAAAGCCUCUUUCUAAUAAAGGGAGGUCAUGACGGUACCGUAAGAAUAAGCACCGGCUAACUACGUGCCAGCAGCCGCGGUAAUACGUAGGGUGCAAGCGUUAAUCGGAAUUACUGGGCGUAAAGCGUGCGCAGGCGGUAAUGUAAGACAGAUGUGAAAUCCCCGGGCUCAACCUGGGAACUGCAUUUGUGACUGCAUUGCUGGAGUGCGGCAGAGGGGGAUGGAAUUCCGCGUGUAGCAGUGAAAUGCGUAGAUAUGCGGAGGAACACCGAUGGCGAAGGCAAUCCCCUGGGCCUGCACUGACGCUCAUGCACGAAAGCGUGGGGAGCAAACAGGAUUAGAUACCCUGGUAGUCCACGCCCUAAACGAUGUCAACUGGUUGU